rnacentral:rRNA from 1 species
AGCGAACGCUGGCGGCAGGCUUAACACAUGCAAGUCGAGCGGGCACUUUCGGGUGUCAGCGGCGGACGGGUGAGUAACGCGUGGGAACGUGCCCUCUGGUUCGGAAUAACUCAGGGAAACUUGAGCUAAUACCGGAUACGCCCUUUUGGGGAAAGGCUUGCUGCCGGAGGAUCGGCCCGCGUCUGAUUAGCUAGUUGGUGAGGUAACGGCUCACCAGGGCGACGAUCAGUAGCUGGUCUGAGAGGAUGAUCAGCCACACUGGGACUGAGACACGGCCCAGACUCCUACGGGAGGCAGCAGUGGGGAAUAUUGGACAAUGGGCGCGAGCCUGAUCCAGCCAUGCCGCGUGAGUGAUGAAGGCCUUAGGGUUGUAAAGCUCUUUUAUCCGGGACGAUAAUGACGGUACCGGAGGAAUAAGCCCCGGCUAACUUCGUG